AUUGAACGCUGGCGGCAGGCCUAACACAUGUAAGUCGAGCGGGGUUUUCGGACCUAGCGGCGGACGGGUGAGUAAUGCGUAGGAAGCUGCCCGAUAGAGGGGGAUACCAGUUGGAAACGACUGUUAAUACCGCAUAAUGUCUACGGACCAAAGUGUGGGACCUUCGGGCCACAUGCUAUCGGAUGCGCCUACGUGGGAUUAGCUAGUUGGUGAGGUAAUGGCUCACCAAGGCGACGAUCUCUAGCUGGUUUGAGAGGAUGAUCAGCCACACUGGAACUGAGACACGGUCCAGACUCCUACGGGAGGCAGCAGUGGGGAAUAUUGGACAAUGGGCGCAAGCCUGAUCCAGCCAUGCCGCGUGUGUGAAGAAGGCCUUCGGGUUGUAAAGCACUUUCAGCGAGGAGGAAGGAUGGUGUGUUAAUAGCACAUCAUUUUGACGUUACUCGCAGAAGAAGCACCGGCUAACUCUGUGCCAGCCGCCGCAGUAAUAC
rnacentral:rRNA from 1 species